rnacentral:miRNA from 1 species
UUUGAGUCCGAUCCUGUCUACCUGCC